GCCCACGCCAGAGCAGCCGUCAGUCUGGCUCCUGCUGGCGCUGCCGCGGGUCUAGUCCCUGCUGGCGCUGCCGCAGGUCUACCCACUGCUGGCGCAGCAACCACCGGCGUCGACGCGCGCCUGGCUGCCAGCCCCUACAUGCCUAGCGCCACUGCUGCGGCCAGCGCACGCGCUGCUGACCUUGCCCCCUUCGGGCUCGGCCUACCGGGCUACCCGGCGUCUACUGGCGCCCUUACCGGUCUUCUAUCGCCGACCCGCCUCCCCAGGCAGCCACCCCCUGGGUUCUCCACCACUCGUCCGCUCGUCGCCGAUGCCACCUGGGCUUCCCCGACGCUCUCCACCGACUCCACCAUGUCAUCGCC
rnacentral:misc_RNA from 1 species